UAGGGAAUCUUCCGCAAUGGGCGAAAGCCUGACGGAGCAACGCCGCGUGAGUGAUGAAGGUCUUCGGAUCGUAAAACUCUGUUAUUAGGGAAGAACAAAUGUGUAAGUAACUAUGCACGUCUUGACGGUACCUAAUCAGAAAGCCACGGCUAACUACGUGCCAGCAGCCGCGGUAAUACGUAGGUGGCAAGCGUUAUCCGGAAUUAUUGGGCGUAAAGCGCGCGUAGGCGGUUUUUUAAGUCUGAUGUGAAAGCCCACGGCUCAACCGUGGAGGGUCAUUGGAAACUGGAAAACUUGAGUGCAGAAGAGGAAAGUGGAAUUCCAUGUGUAGCGGUGAAAUGCGCAAAGUUAUGGAGGAACACCAGUGGCGAAGGCGACUAUCUGGUCUGUAACUGACGCUGAUGUGCGAAGGCGUGGGGAUCAAACAGG
rnacentral:rRNA from 1 species